rnacentral:rRNA from 1 species
AGUGAACGCUGGCGGUAGGCCUAACACAUGCAAGUCGAACGGCAGCACAGGAGAGCUUGCUCUCUGGGUGGCGAGUGGCGGACGGGUGAGGAAUACAUCGGAAUCUACUCUGUCGUGGGGGAUAACGUAGGGAAACUUACGCUAAUACCGCAUACGACCUACGGGUGAAAGCAGGGGACCUUCGGGCCUUGCGCGAUUGAAUGAGCCGAUGUCGGAUUAGCUAGUUGGCGGGGUAAAGGCACACCAAGGCGACGAUCCGUAGCUGGUCUGAGAGAAUGAUCAUCCACACUGGAACUGAGACACGGACCAGACUCCUACGGGGGGCAGCAGUGGGGAAUAUUGGACAGUGGGCGCAAGCCUGAUCCAGCCAUACCGCGUGGGUGAAGAAGGCCUUCGGGUUGUAAAGCCCUUUUGUUGGGAAAGAAAUCCAGCUGGCUAAUACCCGGUUGGGAUGACGGUACCCAAAGAAUAAGCACCGGCUAACUUCGUGCCAGCAGCCGCCGUAA